rnacentral:tRNA from 1 species
ACCAUCUUGACAGAUAAAUGUGCUAGAUUUAGGAUCUAUUUAUAGGAUUUUCCUAGAUGGUA